CGGCUGCCACAAGUGGUGAUCAUGUUUAUUGGGUCUAAAGCGUCUGUAGCCUGUUUGAAAAGUUUCUUGUGAAACUGUUAAGCUUAACUUAACAACCUGCAAGAAAUACUAUCAAACUUGAGACCGGGAGGGGGUAGAGGAACUCCUUGGGUAACGGUAAAAUGUGUUAAUCCUUGGAGGACCACCAAUGGUGAAGACAUCUAUCUAGAACGGUUCUGGCGGUGAGAGACGAAAGCUAGGGGAGCGAUCGGGAUUAGAUACCCCAGUAGUCCUAGCUGUAAACGCUGCAAACUAUGUGUUGCAUGUUCUCCGUGAGCAUGCAGUGCCGAAGCGAAGGCGUUAAGUUUGCCACCUGGGAAGUACGGCCGCAAGACUG
rnacentral:rRNA from 1 species